CUUGAGGCACAAGAGUCACUUUGUGUGUAGCGCUCCUGCAAGGAAUACAUUUCGAUCAAAGAUUCCCGAAGAUCGCUCCGAAGAUCGCUUCGAAAGGAAACUAACACGCAAAAAAAAGAAUUAAAUACAACGAAAAUUGCAAAAUUUUCUGAAGAAAUCAUUGUGUUACAAUGAAGUUCAACAUCGCUACUUUUGCAUUCGCAAUUGCCUUCGUGAUUCUCUUUUCUUGGUCCACUCAAUCAGAGUCCAAUGAUCUUGACAUCUAUUCGAAACUUCAAAAUUACGUGUUUGAAUCGCUUCCGCAAGAACAAUAUAAUUUAUACAAGAACGAUGUGAUUUCAUUAAACUUCUCAAACUCGGUGAUCUCGCAGAUAGGUCCCGAUUUCAUCACCAGCCCUCUAAUUGAGAACCUUUAUCUGUCAAAUAAUCACAUUGAAACGAUCGCACAUGACGCUUUUAGGAAACUUCCUAAUCUAACAAACUUAUUUCUUUCUAACAACAUGAUCAAUACGCCAAAUAAUCUGUUCAGUUUUGGGAAUCAUGAGAAACUAAAGAUUAUCAUUAUGAAUAACGCAACUUCGAAUUAUCAAAAGUAUCAGUCUACGUACAUCCAAGAAUAUCCUAACUUAGAAAUAUUGUCUCUCCGUAAUAAUAAUAUUAACCAACUGAAAUAUUUAAUGCAAGACCUUCAGUGUGGUUCUUAUUCAACAUAUUGCCUACAAACUUUGCCACUUCCUAAAUUGAAAAUUCUAGAUCUUUCUCAGAACUUAUUAAAAAAUUCCGAAUUUGUGCAAAUACUGCCAAAUACUCUGGUUUACCUUGAUCUUGAUGGUAAUAAGCUCAAGUCGUUUAAGUUGUACAAAAAAGGACAAAAUCUAGUUACCUUAAACUUGAACAACAAUCAGCUACAUAGUGUAUCAUUGAAUUGUCAAAUUUUUCCGCAUUACUAUGUUUCAUGUGUGGAGCUUGAUAAUCUGAAAAAUUUACGUUAUCUUUCUAUUGCCAAAAAUCAGAUCAGAAAUAUUUAUUCGGACGCUUUUAGAGAUACAGACAAGUUGAUAUAUUUAAAUUUGUCUAGAAAUGAAAUAGAGAGUGAGAAUCUAAAUUCAGAGACGUUUGCGACGUUGCAACGUUUGCACACGCUCGAUUUGAGUUUUAAUCAGCUCGAUAAUGUGCCUGAAGUUUUGAAUGAAAUUCAAAUCAGUAUUUUGUCUCUACGUCACAACAAGAUAGAGAAAAUAGAUUCGAACGCCUUCGUGCAGAUGCCGAAGUUGACGACAUUGUCAUUGAAAGAAAAUCAUAUCAAUUGGAUCGAUAACAAAGCGUUCACCGAUCUUUCCAUCUUGGAGGAAUUGGAUCUGUCGGAAAACAAGUUGCAUUAUCUGCCGGAAAGAUGGUGUGAAUCUUUGAUAUCUUUGAAAUACUUGGACUUGAGCGGCAAUACCAUCACUUCGCUGGAAUCGUUGUCUUUAACAAAUACAAUACCACUGACGGAACUGAAUCUCGCGAUGAAUCAGUUAGAGUAUUUGAACAUCAGAUAUUUCGAAGAUCUGCCGCAGAAUCUUACCGUUCACUUGGUGCAAGACUCGAAUUUCACACGCCGAUUGAUGCAGACAGAGUUUACAUACUAUUUCUCGUGGCUCCGUACGGUUCUGAUAUAGUUCGUACAAUAAUUAUACUGUACGAAACAUUUCACUACGAACAGUUGUUAAUCAUGUCGGACUCCUUGCAGAAGUCACAAAAUGUUCAUGUUUGCUUAUCAACACGCGGUUUUGUACAAGUGCGCGCAGAAAAAGUGAGCGUCUUCAAAAGAA